GAUGAACGCUGGCGGCGUGCCUAAUACAUGCAAGUCGAGCGAACAGAUAAGGAGCUUGCUCCUUUGACGUUAGCGGCGGACGGGUGAGUAACACGUGGAUAACCUACCUAUAAGACUGGGAUAACUUCGGGAAACCGGAGCUAAUACCGGAUAACAUAUUGAACCGCAUGGUUCAAUAGUGAAAGGCGGCUUUGCUGUCACUUAUAGAUGGAUCCGCGCCGUAUUAGCUAGUUGGUAAGGUAACGGCUUACCAAGGCAACGAUACGUAGCCGACCGGAGAGGGUGAUCGGCCACACUAGAACGGAAACACGGUCCAGACUCCUACGGGAGGCAGCAGUAGGGAAUCUUCCGCAAUGGGCGAAAGCCUGACGUAGCAACGCCGCGUGAGUGAUGAAGGUCUUCGGAUCGUAAAACUCUGUUAUCAGGGAAGAACAAAUGUGUAAGUAACUGUGCACAACUUGACGGUACCUGAUCAGAAAGCCACGGCUAACUACGUG
rnacentral:rRNA from 1 species